rnacentral:sRNA from 2 species
GCGAGGUCACCGCUCAAUCGCCCUCUGGGGCGAAUCGGGGAACCAUCACUUCGGACGCAGUCCGAUCGGGGUGAAUCCUCCGUGUGUUCGAGUGGCCGGUCGGGAUCAGAUCUCGCACGUCCGCGCGUCGUCACGGGGGUAGGGCCAGUCUUCCGGCCCGAAUCCGACAGCUAACCCGGUAGGCGGUCGAGGAAGAUAUG